rnacentral:rRNA from 1 species
GGUUUGGGAUCGGGGGAAAGGGGAGCUAGGGGUGUUGGAGAGGGCGGAGAUAGGGAGGAGGAGCGCAGUGGUGCCGGAGGCGGGGCCUCGGAGCGGCGGCGGACUAUUAUGAGGAGGUGGUACGAUCGGGGAGGUGGAGUGGAAGGAAGAAAAACAAUAGACGCGGGCAGUAGCUACGGACCAAGAUCUAGCCCGCGCCCAAUCUGCUCCAGCUACCACCCCACUUACCCGUCCCCUCCGCCCCCUGCUCCCGUCCGUUGUCAGCCGGGCAGCGCUACACCACUUCGAUGUCCCUUCUCCCUCCUCCAGCCGCUGUCCCACUUCCUCGUUCGGCCGGGAGUACCUCCGUCGCGAUGGUCGGUCGAUCCCUCCGCCAGGCCGAGCGGAGACGAUACGGCACUCGCCGCCGCGAUGGAGACGGAGGUCGGAGUGGAGGAGACGGUUGGUACCCUUUUUAAACCCCUCUGGGUUCCACUCGAAGGGGAGGCAACGUACUGGGUUCCACUCGAAGGGGAGACAACGUACGUGAGGACUAGAGAUUUCUAAAGACAUCGGAUUUACGGAUACAUGGUACAUUCGUUCGGGUUGCAUUACGUGUGGUAGUCGGACUACUUACUGGUUUACCAAACAAAAACAACGGUAUAUCUGGUAACUGCCCACACGUCCUCGGGAAGAUUAACCAUGAGAUACACACAAAAGAAAAGAAAACAACGUCUUAUUAUUAAGUUCACCUACCGGUUACGCGGAACAACAAAUCGCCAUACUACCAGCCACUUUCAUACAAGAUAUAUAUAACGUUCCUAGUAUUCUACGAAAAUGUGUACUAACACACUACGAGUCUCUGUAAAACGUGUCUUGAAGAACACUUCGAACUAAAAUAAGUCUCGGUAUACUAAAAAAUAUCUUUGUACUCGUCUCAUUUUACCUGUGUCGAAGACCAUGUAGACUCGUGGCUGCUGGUGUUACCCUACCUAGUUCGUCGGUUCUGAGUCUCACACCAGCUGUCACGCUGAGAAGGUCGUGACUUCAAUACAGAAAACCCGGUUAAAGUUAACGGAGUGAUGGACAUGUGUACCUAGGACAUCCAUAAAGGAUUACAUUCACAGUGACAAAAAGAAGAAAUACAUGGACCUGCCCUCACGAGUACUCCUACUGCUGUACGAUGACUUGAGUUUAAGUUUUUACUUCAACCCCCGGACCCCAAACCUCGGGGAGUCAUCUUCACGAGUCCGCCGUACAGUGUCAACAAACGACUAUUAAAUGGUUCUUGUUUAAAACGAACAGAGAUCGUAAUCCGAUACUCGGGAUUUCGUCAAGGUCACACUACUAGAUGGAGAACUGAUCCUUCCCCCCUAACUUUCUAUCGUGAACAGCAAACUUCGUUAAUCAUAACCUGAUAAACUCCUUCAUUUACAAAUUUGGUGAUUUGGAAUAUAAGAAAACAUUUUUCCUCCCACGUCUAUUUAUUCUCAACAACCGUCGUCGUUGGAUGUGUACACCUUUGUCACCGAUACCGCCGAGUUUCCCUUCAACACCGGCGAUCUGUCGUUGAGUGUUGAAUCACCGUCGAGUUUCAUGUAUAUUAGAUAAAGAAGAACCUCGAUAGAUGAUAUUAUAAUACUGAGCCACAAUCGACUUCGAAGAUAAAAGAGCGGAAAACACCACCGCCACUAAGGAAGUUGACGUCAUCAAAAAGAUGCACGGUAACAUUCACAUCCAAAAGAUGUCAAUUCGGAGAGCGUAACGUUUUUCGAUGUAAGGGAACAAAAAGAUACACGGUAACAUUCACAUCCAAAAGAUGGCCGAAGUUGUAUCUAUUAAUCGUACGCUCUCCGAAUUGACAUCGAAAAACGCUACGAUCUGCCUGUAUAAGUCAUGACUUUUAGAUCUGACAAGAAAGGUGAGACAUUGUUGAAGAUACGAACGCGGUGGUACUAUAGUCAUGUUGUAAAGGGAUAUUUUAAAACAAUCAACGUACAUUUGACUUAACUAAAUGGUCAUUUUUAGACCUGUUGACUAAGGUCAGCUAUUAUUGGUAACACCGUAAUGGUUCUAUACAGUACAUAGACGAGACUCAACAUCAUACAACGUUUUUCAUGUUAUUCUUUAUCUUACAUACGUGAUACCGAUCGUCAUUGAAAAAAACUGAACAUGUUGUAAACUAGAUAGAUAAAAACGUCCGAUAAGGAGAGCAACGUUGGAAAAGGGUAUCUUAGUCUUAAUCUAACUUCUUUAACGUCCUC